ACUAGCCACCGUCACAUGGGGCCCGCAUGGCGGUAGCGUCUUCUCCGCAAAGCACGCACGGGAAAACAGAAGGCGUCCGUAGCGUCCGGGCCGAACCGAGCGGGUCUUUGUCAUCGGCUUCCGGGAUCCGGCUCGCUCGGGGCUAUAUAGGGCCUAGAGCGCCGCCUCUCUCUCUGCUUGCAACCACCCAAGAAUCGUGUAGCAGACCAACGCCAGUGUGAGAGGGGGAGAGGUAUUCCAUGACCGCCGCCGUCACCGUGUCGCAGCGUUCUUGUGCCGAGGGGUGGUUGAGGACAAUCCAUGGGCAACAAGCCGUUGGUGGCCUACGUGCGUAGAGGAACCCCGGUGAUUGUCUGUUCAACUGCGCGGAUCGUGUCCCGCCCGCGUCCGAUGGCGCAGUGACAUCAUCGGCGUCGACCUCCUCAUCCCCACGUACGGUCACGAGGAUCCGAAGAAUCACCCUGGUAACUGGAAUCUCAAGUGCUAGGCAAGUUGUGCCCUUGACCACUUUUGUUACCCAAUAAUAUUCUUUAUUAUCACUAUUCAUGCAUAGGUUUAAUUUUGAUGGGACCCAAUAGGUCACCCUAGACUGGUUAUUCUUUUUACCUUGUUUAUCCCUGAAUCAAUUAGGUAGCUAUGCUAUUGCUUUAUAUGGUUUUAGGAUAAUAUUUCAUUACAUCCAUGUACCAAUUAUUGUGUUAUGUUAUUUAUGUUCAUGAUAAGAUCAUUAUGUUAAUUGGAACAUGGAGCGACCACCCGGAAAAACAGUGCUACCACAAGGGUAGUAUGGGAUGCCCUUGACUGAUUAACUAGGAAAGCUAGUGGAUGACUAUCUUACCCGAAAGGGGCAAGGGCAGUAGGGGAGUGGUCAGUGUAGGGAGGUCCUUGGGUUAAUUUUACUGUGAUGGUGGUCAGGCGAGGGAUUCCUGCACAUGAGCUUCCUAUAAACUGUAGCGGGUUUUCUAAAGCUAGUGGAACUUUGUAAAGGCCUCGUAGUGUUACCCUGCCUCGCCUCCUUGGUAGAGGUGUAUGGGAUUCAUGACCCCUUGGCAGAUGGGUAACAUGACUUGUGGGUAAAGAUGCGCAACCUCUGCAGAGUGUAAAACUGAUAUACUAGUCGUGCUCACGGUCAUGAGCAGCUCGGACCCUCACAUGAUUAAUCUAUGGAAUUAAAACUCAAUUUGUCUUUUGCAUCGCAUUGGGAUUAUUUUAUUAUUAAUUUUACUUAUUAUUACUAAGGUUUGGUAUUUACUUAUACUUAGUAACUGCUAACAAAAUUUGACCAACUUAUUAAAAGCAAUGCUCAGCUUUAACCCCUAUUGUUGAUCAGCUUUACACAUCACAUGAACUCCCACCUUUGGUGAGUUCAUGCCACAUUAUUCCCCAUAACUUGUUGAGCGAUGAACAUGCGUGAGCUCACCCUUGCUGUCUCACACCCCCCACAGGAGAAGUACAAGUGGCUCAGGAGGAGCCACACAACGAGGAGUUUGAUUCGAUCUAGGUGGCGUCUCCCAGUUGACUUUCUGGCGCCAACGAUGGAUUUUAGAUCCUGUUAUAUUUAUCAUUUAUUUUUGUAAGUCUUCCACUAUGUAAUAAAUACUAUGAUUAUUGUGACAUUUAUCUCUAUACACUCUGUUAUUAUAUAUGUUGUCUUCUUUGGCGCAUGUAUGAGAUACACCCGGCUUUGUCCCUUUAAAACCGGGGUGUUACACUAUUUCGGUCCUCCAGUCUUCAUUAUGUACAGGUGAGAUUGUGAGCACUGCUCUUUCCAUGAGCUCGACUGAAGGUGCUUUUAUUGUUUCAAUAAAUACUUCCGAAGGCAAAGGGAGCCCCUUUGCCGCUGAUUUAGCUAAUAAAUCUGCAUGCUCAUUCUCUCCCUGGGGAUAUGUUUUACAGAAAAACCUUCGAAAGAAGAUUCCAACCUUCGGACUGCAUCUAAAUACUUUUCAAGCUUCAGAAGGUGCGACUAGGACAACAACUGGUCCUGCACUGAAGGUCCCCAAAGAUCCAUCACAAAAUACCGUCCAAGUUUCGGCAUCUUUUGUUGCUUCUUCAUCCUGAGCCCCUGGCGUCCAAUCAGCAAUGAAGUCUACUAACGCCUGAAAUUGAAUUGAGGAUCUGUGCACGUAAUCAAUGGUGAAUUCGCUAAGUUCCGCGGUCCAUUUUCUGAUCCUUCUUGUAGCUUCUCUGUUCCUCAUUAUGUCCUUCAGGGGUUGUGAUGAAGGCACUAUUAUGCGAUAUGCUUGGAAGUAAUGCCAAAACUUCCUGGAGGCCAUCAAUACAUCAUACAGUACCUUCUUCAACUCUGUGUAAUUUUUCUUUGAAGGGCUGAGUACUUCAGAAACAAAGUAUACUGGUGCUUGCUUUUUUACCUGACCCUCUUGUUUCUCUUGUACAAGUGUUGCACUAACCGUAGCAUGGGAAGCAGCCACAUAUAGAAGUAACGGAGCUCUAGAUGAAGGUGGGGUUAGAGUUGUUAGAUCUAUCAAAUACUGCUUUAGCUCUUCGAAGGCUUUCUGCUGAGCUGGACCCCAUUGGAAUACUUCGACUGAUUUCAGUAUUUCAAAGAAAGGUAGAUU